rnacentral:rRNA from 1 species
UCGGAAUCUGGGAGGACCAUCUCCUAAGGCUAAAUACUCUCUAGUGACCGAUAGUGAACCAGUACCGUGAGGGAAAGGUGAAAAGCACCCCGGAAGGGGAGUGAAAUAGAACCUGAAACCGUGUGCUUACAAGUAGUCAGAGCCCGUUAAUGGGUGAUGGCGUGCCUUUUGUAGAAUGAACCGGCGAGUUACGAUUUGAUGCAAGGUUAAGCAGUAAAUGUGGAGCCGUAGCGAAAGCGAGUCUGAAUAGGGCGUUUAGUAUUUGGUCGUAGACCCGAAACCAGGUGAUCUACCCUUGGUCAGGUUGAAGUUCAGGUAACACUGAAUGGAGGACCGAACCGACUUACGUUGAAAAGUGAGCGGAUGAACUGAGGGUAGCGGAGAAAUUCCAAUCGAACCUGGAGAUAGCUGGUUCUCUCCGAAAUAGCUUUAGGGCUAGCCUCAAGUGAUGAUUAUUGGAGGUAGAGCACUGUUUGGACGAGGGGCCCCUCUCGGGUUACCGAAUUCAGACAAACUCCGAAUGCCAAUUAAUUUAACUUGGGAGUCAGAACAUGGGUGAUAAGGUCCGUGUUCGAAAGGGAAACAGCCCAGACCACCAGCUAAGGUCCCAAAAUAUAUGUUAAGUGGAAAAGGAUGUGGCGUUGCCCAGACAACUAGGAUGUUGGCUUAGAAGCAGCCAUCAUUUAAAGAGUGCGUAAUAGCUCACUAGUCGAGUGACACUGCGCCGAAAAUGUACCGGGGCUAAACAUAUUACCGAAGCUGUGGAUUGUCCUUUGGACAAUGGUAGGAGAGCGUUCUAAGGGCGUUGAAGCAUGAUCGUAAGGACAUGUGGAGCGCUUAGAAGUGAGAAUGCCGGUGUGAGUAGCGAAAGACGGGUGAGAAUCCCGUCCACCGAUUGACUAAGGUUUCCAGAGGAAGGCUCGUCCGCUCUGGGUUAGUCGGGUCCUAAGCUGAGGCCGACAGGCGUAGGCGAUGGAUAACAGGUUGAUAUUCCUGUACCACCUAUAAUCGUUUUAAUCGAUGGGGGGACGCAGUAGGAUAGGCGAAGCGUGCGAUUGGAUUGCACGUCUAAGCAGUAAGGCUGAGUAUUAGGCAAAUCCGGUACUCGUUAAGGCUGAGCUGUGAUGGGGAGAAGACAUUGUGUCUUCGAGUCGUUGAUUUCACACUGCCGAGAAAAGCCUCUAGAUAGAAAAUAGGUGCCCGUACCGCAAACCGACACAGGUAGUCAAGAUGAGAAUUCUAAGGUGAGCGAGCGAACUCUCGUUAAGGAACUCGGCAAAAUGACCCCGUAACUUCGGGAGAAGGGGUGCUCUUUAGGGUUAACGCCCAGAAGAGCCGCAGUGAAUAGGCCCAAGCGACUGUUUAUCAAAAACACAGGUCUCUGCUAAACCGUAAGGUGAUGUAUAGGGGCUGACGCCUGCCCGGUGCUGGAAGGUUAAGAGGAGUGGUUAGCUUCUGCGAAGCUACGAAUCGAAGCCCCAGUAAACGGCGGCCGUAACUAUAACGGUCCUAAGGUAGCGAAAUUCCUUGUCGGGUAAGUUCCGACCCGCACGAAAGGCGUAACGAUUUGGGCACUGUCUCAACGAGAGACUCGGUGAAAUCAUAGUACCUGUGAAGAUGCAGGUUACCCGCGACAGGACGGAAAGACCCCGUGGAGCUUUACUGUAGCCUGAUAUUGAAAUUCGGCACAGCUUGUACAGGAUAGGUAGGAGCCUUUGAAACGUGAGCGCUAGCUUACGUGGAGGCGCUGGUGGGAUACUACCCUAGCUGUGUUGGCUUUCUAACCCGCACCACUUAUCGUGGUGGGAGACAGUGUCAGGCGGGCAGUUUGACUGGGGCGGUCGCCUCCUAAAAGGUAACGGAGGCGCUCAAAGGUUCCCUCAGAAUGGUUGGAAAUCAUUCAUAGAGUGUAAAGGCAUAAGGGAGCUUGACUGCGAGACCUACAAGUCGAGCAGGGUCGAAAGACGGACUUAGUGAUCCGGUGGUUCCGCAUGGAAGGGCCAUCGCUCAACGGAUAAAAGCUACCCCGGGGAUAACAGGCUUAUCUCCCCCAAGAGUUCACAUCGACGGGGAGGUUUGGCACCUCGAUGUCGGCUCAUCGCAUCCUGGGGCUGUAGUCGGUCCCAAGGGUUGGGCUGUUCGCCCAUUAAAGCGGUACGCGAGCUGGGUUCAGAACGUCGUGAGACAGUUCGGUCCCUAUCCGUCGUGGGCGUAGGAAAUUUGAGAGGAGCUGUCCUUAGUACGAGAGGACCGGGAUGGACAUACCUCUGGUGUACCAGUUGUCGUGCCAACGGCAUAGCUGGGUAGCUAUGUGUGGACGGGAUAAGUGCUGAAAG